CAAGUCUGGUGCCAGCAGCCGCGGUAAUUCCAGCUCCAAUAGCGUAUAUUAAAGUUGCUGCAGUUAAAAAGCUCGUAGUUGAAUUUCGGGACUAAUAUGUCGGUCGUGCCUCGGUACGUACUGGUAUUUUUGGUUUCUCCCUUCUGACGAACCUUGAUGUCAUUAAUUUGGUGUCUUGGGAAAUCAGGACUGUUACUUUGAAAAAAUUAGAGUGUUUAAAGCAGGCUCACGCUUGAAUACAUUAGCAUGGAAUAAUGAAAUAGGACGUUUGAUUCUAUUUUGUUGGUUUCUAGGAUCGACGUAAUGAUUAAUAGGGAUAGUUGGGGGCAUUAGUAUUCAAUUGUCAGAGGUGAAAUUCUUGGAUUUAUUGAAGACUAACUACUGCGAAAGCAUUUGCCAAGGAUGUUUUCAUUAAUCAAGAACGAAAGUUAGGGGAUCGAAGACGAUCAGAUACCGUCGUAGUCUUAACCAUAAACUAUGCCGACUAGGGAUCGGAUGA
rnacentral:rRNA from 1 species